CGCCCGCUCAGAAACUUAAAGGAAUUGACGGGGGCCCGCACAAGCGGUGGAGCAUGUGGUUUAAUUCGAUGAUACGCGAGGAACCUUACCCGGGCUUGAAAUGCAUCUGACCGGCCUUGAAAGAGGCACUCCCCUUCGGGGCAGAUGUGUAGGUGCUGCAUGGUUGUCGUCAGCUCGUGCCGUGAGGUGUCGGCUUAAGUGCCAUAACGAGCGCAACCCUCAUCAUUAGUUACCAUCAGGUAAGGCUGGGGACUCUAAUGAGACUGCCAUCGUAAGAUGUGAGGAAGGUGGGGAUGACGUCAAAUCAGCACGGCCCUUACGUCCGGGGCGACACACGUGUUACAAUGGGUGGUACAAAGGGCAGCUACCUGGCGACAGGAUGCUAAUCUCGAAAACCGCUCUCAGUUCGGAUCGGAGUCUGCAACUCGACUCCGUGAAGCUGGAUUCGCUAGUAAUCGCGCAUCAGCCACGGCGCGGUGAAUACGUUCCCGGGCCUU
rnacentral:rRNA from 1 species